ensembl:snoRNA
GAAUUGAGGUCAGCCUAGCCCUGGGCUUUUGGGGUAUUCCAGGGCAGGCUGUAUCCCUAAACCAUUGCAUGGCUUUUCUGUCUGUAGGUCCAGGUACAGAGUUGAGUUGUGCAGUG